rnacentral:lncRNA from 1 species
CUGAGAACAAAUGAAAAUAAGUUGGUUUUAUUUUCCAAGCUUUUUCCAAGAGGCUCUUUUGGGACCUCACUCCCUAAUAUAUUCUCAUAAUGUUGCAGGCUUUCGGAACUAGUGAUGAAGCCCUCUAACAAUUUCCAGUGGCGAGUGAUUUCAUUUGAAGCCCGGCCAUCAGUAGGAUCAUUGAUGAUGGUGAAGCAAGCUAUAUUACAGAUGUAUCCUGUCUUGUCUCUAUCUCACUUGAAGGUACCUCAAGAUUUUCCUUCUACUUUUAUGACUGACCGCCAUUUUUGAAACAGUGACAGGAGGAGACUAGCAACUUUCCGUAAAAUUUUCUUUUUUCUUGUUCUGUUUACUUAUAAAGCUACAAUGGUGGGGGGGGGGGGCUCCAUUUAAAGUUUUAUUAUUUUGGUGAUAUGCCUCCCCCUCUUUGAGCCUGCCGGGGGGGGGGGGGGAGGAGAGGUAUUGCAGUCUCUUGAAAAUUUUUUGGAACAACAAUCCAAAUUGGAAAGUUUUAACUUAAAAAUGAAAGAAAGCUACAAUGUAUCAAGUGUUUUUUGUGUAACCUAGUAUAACAAUGAGUGGCAAAGAAACUUCUCUAAAUUUGCAGUGCUAAGGAAGAACGCCAUAUGAGCUUUCAGACAUUGCCAUAUUUCCCUCAUAAAAAACUAACUUUCUGGAAAAUUGUGAAUAUUUUUCUCUAAACUUUUCAGACAAUUUUCUUCACAAUUUAAUCUUAAAUAUCUGAAAAUUUAAGGAAACAUAUGUACAACUUUCCUCAAAAUACAUGUUUUUCCGGGAAAAUUUGGCAACUCUUGAAUAUUCAUACGGUGUUCUUGGCAGGAAUUCUACAUUGCAUAUUACAUUGCUCAGAUUAGAGAGAUACUGGAGUUAUCUCCUCAAUUCAUCACCGUUUCAAGAGGAUGUUUUGAUAUAAAAUGAUGGGCAUCAAGCUACUGAUAAACACACAUCUGAAGAGAGGGUUUCCUUGUUCCCAGCGAGGUCAGAUACCAGAUUUGUUAUCUCUCUCAUCUACUCUUGCAAUCAGGUGGAAGGAGGACUUGGUUACCUCUGUACCCGUGCUCAUUGUCAGUUUUAAGUGUGAUGUGAAGAAGUUGGUCAUUAUGGAGUUCAAAGAACCUUUCUGGAAAGAUGCUAUUCCCCUCAGUUCUUGCAGAGUUUGCAUCAAAUCUUUCUGCUGUAAACAACAUCGGAUUGCUCACGAGACUGAAGUGCACCCAAGCCAGUUAUCCGAAGUUGAAUCGUUACCAGAAAUAUGCCAGAAAUGUCAUGUCCUCGUGAGUAACUGCAAAGACCUUAAAAGUGAGUGUGUCAAAAUUGUAAGUGUUCCAUUAACAAAUAUCAAUCCAAAUACACCAAUAAUCAAUCGUGUACAUAAGAGAACCUAUGCUCAAAUGAACAUAGCCAAAGAGCAGCCUCCAACACCAAUGCCAACCAAUGCUCAUCCUUUGCGAGCAAAAAGAAAUGCAAAAAGGAAAGCUUGCAAGUCCAAAGAAACUUCCACCAAAGAAAUACUGAAGGAAAAUUCCUCUGAAACAAGUCCUCGAUUUGAAGAAAUCAAGUCCAGUAGCACUCCGAUUCGCAACCACCAUGAUCCUUUGCGGGUGAAAUUACUAAAAAGUAAAAUUGAGGUCCCAAGACAGACUCUAAGUGUGAGCACACGGACUCUGUCACCAUCACCUCAGCGCAAAAGACCAAACUUGUCCAUCGAAAAAAGUUGUCUAAUUUCAAGUGAAGUAAAAAAUGCUGUCUCUGAAUCUCCUCCACAAAACACAAUGGAUAUUUCUGUCUAUGGAACUCCUUGUGCCGAAAUAGUCACUCCAUUUCACUGUCCCAAAAAACACAACGUUCAUUUUACUCAUGUCUCUAUUUAUGAAGCAACAAAGUCAAGGGACUCUUCAACUUCUGCUAGCAUGAACUUCAGUGACAACUUUUCAAACGAAGACAUCAAUGUUGCUGGAGAAGCAGAAAAUGAAUGCGGUGCAUUUGUUCAUUCGAGAGACCAACUAAUGGACGGAAAUCACGCACCUGUUGAAAGUAUUUCCAGAAACAACCCACAGCCAACAGCUAACCUUCAAUGCAUGGAUACAAGUAUAGACAUCUCCAAUAACAUAGUUGCUCUAGCUAAGGACUCUUUGGAAUCAAAUCUCAGGCAAGAUUCUUUGAACUCAUCACCUUGCUCCAAUGCUCACACCCACACUAAAACACCAGAUUGCACAGUCUUUUUUCACCUCAUCCCAUCAAAGCUGAUCUAUCUAUCCAUCCUAAUUACAGGCAAGAAUUUAAUUUAUCUCCUUUGGACUCAGAGUUAG